AGAAGAGUGGCGAACGGGUGAGUAACACGUGGGUAACCUGCCCAUCAGAAGGGGAUAACACUUGGAAACAGGUGCUAAUACCGUAUAACAAUCGAAACCGCNNGNUUUUGAUUUGAAAGGCGCUUUCGGGUGUCGCUGAUGGAUGGACCCGCGGUGCAUUAGCUAGUUGGUGAGGUAACGGCUCACCAAGGCCACGAUGCAUAGCCGACCUGAGAGGGUGAUCGGCCACAUUGGGACUGAGACACGGCCCAAACUCCUACGGGAGGCAGCAGUAGGGAAUCUUCGGCAAUGGACGAAAGUCUGACCGAGCAACGCCGCGUGAGUGAAGAAGGUUUUCGGAUCGUAAAACUCUGUUGUUAGAGAAGAACAAGGAUGAGAGUAACUGUUCAUCCCUUGACGGUAUCUAACCAGAAAGCCACGGCUAACUACGUGCCAGCAGCCGCGGUAAUACGUAGGUGGCAAGCGUUGUCCGGAUUUAUUGGGCGUAAAGCGAGCGCAGGCGGUUUCUUAAGUCUGAUGUGAAAGCCCCCGGCUCAACCGGGGAGGGUCAUUGGAAACUGGGAGACUUGAGUGCAGAAGAGGAGAGUGGAAUUCCAUGUGUAGCGGUGAAAUGCGUAGAUAUAUGGAGGAACACCAGUGGCGAAGGCGGCUCUCUGGUCUGUAACUGACGCUGAGGCUCGAAAGCGUGGGGAGCAANCAGGAUUAGAUACCCUGGUAGUCCACGCCGUAANCGAUGAGUGCUAAGUGUUGGAGGGUUUCCGCCCUUCAGUGCUGCAGCUAACGCAUUAAGCACUCCGCCUGGGGAGUACGACCGCAAGGUUGAAACUCAAAGGAAUUGACGGGGGCCCGCACAAGCGGUGGAGCAUGUGGUUUAAUUCGAAGCAACGCGAAGAACCUUACCAGGUCUUGACAUCCUUUGACCACUCUAGAGAUAGAGCUUCCCCUUCGGGGGCAAAGUGACAGGUGGUGCAUGGUUGUCGUCAGCUCNNGUCCUGANANNUUGGGUUAAGUCCCNCAACGAGCGCAACCCUUAUUGUUANUUGCCAUCAUUCAUUUGGCACUNUAACAAGACUGCCGGUGACAAACCGGAAGGAAGGUGGGGAAUGACGUCAAAUCAUCAUGCCCCUUAGAACCUGGGCCAACACCCUCCACCAUGGGNAAGUACAACGAAUUGCNAAUUCCCGAAGGCUAAGCUAAUUCCUUAA
rnacentral:rRNA from 1 species